UGGAGUGUCGCCAAGUCUGGUAAGGCAGUAGAUUUUGGUUCUACUAUGCGGUGGUUCAAAUCCAUCCACUCCAA
rnacentral:tRNA from 1 species